rnacentral:rRNA from 1 species
UAGGGGAAGUCGGUGAUCCUAUGCUGCCAAGAAAAUCUUCUAGCGAGGUUCGAGCCGCCCGUACCCCAAACCGACUCAGGUGGUUAGGUAGAGAAUACCAAGGCGAUCGAGUGAAUCGUGGUUAAGGAAUUCGGCAAAAUACCCCCGUAACUUCGGGAGAAGGGGGGCCCAGAGGGUGACGGGACUUGCUCCCCGAGCCUGAACGGCCGCAGAGACCAGGGAGAAGCGACUGUUUACUAAAAACACAGGUCCGUGCCAAGUCGCAAGACGAUGUAUACGGACUGACGCCUGCCCGGUGCUGGAACGUUAAGGGGACCGGUUAGCCUCACGGCGAAGCUGAGAACUUAAGCGCCAGUAAACGGCGGUGGUAACUAUAACCAUCCUAAGGUAGCGAAAUUCCUUGUCGGGUAAGUUCCGACCUGCACGAAUGGCGUAACGAUUUCUCCACUGUCUCAACCACGAACUCGGCGAAAUUGCAUUACGAGUAAAGAUGCUCGUUACGCGCAGAAGGACGGAAAGACCCCGGGACCUUUACUACAGCUUGGUAUUGGUGUUCGGUACGGCUUGUGUAGGAUAGGUGGGAGACUGUGAAGCUGACACGCCAGUGUCGGUGGAGUCAACGUUGAAAUACCACUCUGGUCGUUCUGGAUAUCUAACCUAGGUCCGUGAUCCGGAUCAGGGACAGUGCCUGGUGGGUAGUUUAACUGGGGCGGUUGCCUCCUAAAAGGUAACGGAGGCGCCCAAAGGUUCCCUCAGCCUGGUUGGCAAUCAGGUUUUGAGUGUAAGCGCACAAGGGAGCUUGACUGUGAGACUGACAAGUCGAACAGGGACGAAAGUCGGGACUAGUGAUCCGGCGGUGGCUUGUGGAAGCGCCGUCGCUCAACGGAUAAAAGGUACCCCGGGGAUAACAGGCUGAUCUUGCCCAAGAGUCCAUAUCGACGGCAUGGUUUGGCACCUCGAUGUCGGCUCGUCGCAUCCUGGGGCUGGAGUAGGUCCCAAGGGUUGGGCUGUUCGCCCAUUAAAGCGGUACGCGAGCUGGGUUUAGAACGUCGUGAGACAGUUCGGUCCCUAUCCUCUGCGCGCGCAGGAAACUUGAGAAGGGCUGUCCCUAGUACGAGAGGACCGGGAUGGACGAACCUCUGGUGUGUCAGUUGUUCUGCCAAGAGCACCGCUGAUUAGCUACGUUCGGGAGUGAUAACCGCUGAAAGCAUCUAAGCGGGAAGCAUGCUUCAAGAUGAGGUUUCCAUGGGGUUUACCCCGAGAGGCUCCCAGCUAGACUACUGGGUUGAUAGGCCGGAUGUGGAAGUGCGGUAACGCAUGGAGCUGACCGGUACUAAUAAGCCGAUAACUUGACC